rnacentral:rRNA from 1 species
GAUCAUGGCUCAGGAUAAACGCUGGCGGCGUGCAUAACACAUGCAAGUCGAACGAUGAACCUUAAUUGAUUUCUUCGGAAUGAAAUUAAGCGGAUUAGUGGCGAACGGGUGAGUAACACGUGAGUAACCUGCCUUACACAAGGGGAUAGCCUUUGGAAACGAAGAAUAAUACCCUAUAAAGUCAAAAUAUCGCAUGAUAAAGUGACCAAAGAUUUAUCGGUGUAAGAUGGACUUGCGUCUGAUUAG